GGCUUUGUCCCUCCCUCUCUCACUGCCGGAAUAUAUUGCUUGUGGGACGGUGAGGGACAUCUUUAAUCUCCCCACCGACCUCGGAUAGUGCCAGCCCUGCAAAGACCGGCAGGGGAGAUUCUGUGAUCUCCCUGCCGGCCUUGGGCCAUGGCCACCGCGGCCCACCGGGCAUUUGCCCGGUGUGCCUGAUGACCAGUGUGG